CACUCCUUCCUACGUUCUUCUGCUGUGGCUGCCUUGUUUUACCACAUUCUGCGGCCGCGGUCCAUCGCUUGCUCCCCCCUCCUCCCCCCGGUACACUUCCUCGUGCCCCACACCUGCCACCACCGCAGAUACACAUCCGCAGUCAAGCACCGGUGUACGGCACACGUGGGUAUGUCCACGCCGAAUCUCGAUGCCCUCCUUGGUGUUCCACUGGCUGCGGAGCUAGUGGCAAGAGCAGGAGGUCUUUUGGCGCUGUGCAAGCUGAGUGACGCCGCACUUCGCAUGCUGGGCACGGAGGAGUUCCAGAGCAUCGCGAGCAGCUCACGGGCGAAGCAGCUGCACGCAGGCCUGUUGUUGAAAGCUCCACUGUUCACCGACGCCUUUGGAGACGAGGAGGCGGUGGACACGACGGACCUGAAGGCUGCGCAGAAGGGUGCCGCCCAACUGGGACGCAAGUGCGCGCUAGUCGCGAAGGCGGACCUUGCCGGCGCCUUUUCCGAUGGCUCCCUCGGUGAGGCGGAGAAGGAAAAGCUCAACGCCGCCUUCACCCGUCUCCUGGCGGAGGGCAAAGUGACCGCGGAGGACACGCAGGCGCUCGCCGUACCGUUUGUGUACGUCCGCGGCGAUGCAGCGAAGCACAGGCGUGGCGGUGUCAAGGAGCGAAAGAAGCGAGAGUCGCAGCAGGAAUCGGUCAGCGUCGUUGCUAGAGCGACGCAGCGGGUGCGCAUGGGUGUCAGUGAGGAGGAGCAGGUGCAACAGCUGCUGCAGCGAGAAGACAUACGUAGCGAAUUCGCCAAGGAGCGCGCUCAGCAGCUGCUGAAGGAGUCGCGGAAGCGUGCUCGAGAGGCUGUCCAUGAUGAGUACGAUGACCUACAGAACAUUUCCCUCUAGCGCGCCCGAUAGCGUUUGUGCCUGCGGUUAUGCUUGAGCGGGCAGCUGCGGGAUCAUGAGACAUGCCCACGGGGUUUCUGCUGCUGUUGAUUCCUUCCCUUUAUCCUUGGAUCUCUGUGCCGCGCAUAUGAGCCACUGCUGGCCUUUGCAGCUUGCGGCGCUCACGGUAUGACCAGGUUCCCCCCAUCACACCGAGCCGCCCCAUCGCCGCUGCACUCGUUGCGUAGCUCUGGGGCGAGCGAGCGGAUGUGAGGAAUUCCUCAUCCCUCGCACGUAUGCCUGUGCUGACGCGUGUGUGGGCACGCUUACGGAAACCAGGUUUUCAACGCCAAGAUGAGUCAGCAGUCGACUAUUGACAUUGAAAGGACUCGAAAGGGGUGGAAAAGGCUGGCGCCUUGAGGCCGCGACCAGCAAUUCAACAUCACCAAGUGCCGGAGGAGUACCGCCCCCAUCCCCGCAGCUGCGCAUGCUACCACGGUUGCGCCUGCCUCUCGUCUUUUCCUUUCGAACUUUGCUGUCUUUUCUUGCCCUUCGCCUCUCUCUUCUUGCG
rnacentral:misc_RNA from 1 species